GUCUUUAACAGUCUACUCUUCCUCUACACAUGAACCAUAAUGGCACAUUGGCUUAGGAAUACUUUGCUUAUCCUGGCUGCAUGCUAUUCUGAUUGCAGAGGUGAAGAGGCUGUUGACCAGCAGAGUGGACAUGUUACUGCCCUUGAAGGAGGACUGGUAACACUCAGCUGUAACUACACUACAAGCAGUAGUACAUCUCCUGAUCUCUUCUGGUACAUCCAGCAAACUAGGAACUCUCCUCAGUAUGUCCUGAGAAGAGAUCGUUAUUCAGAAGGGAGCAAUAGUGAUGAGUUUAAGAAGAGGUUUGAUUCCAGGCUGAAUUUCACAUCUAGCUCUGUCCCCUUGAUGAUUCAGAGGUUGCAGCUGUCUGACUCUGCUGUGUACUACUGUGCUCUGAGGCCCACUGUGACAGCAGGAUAUACAGCUCCCUUACAAAAACUAUUUGAUAGUCUUAUACUGUAUAAGCCUCUUAGAAAGCUUGUGUAAGCUCUUCCUUAAUGUUUCCUAAGGCAGAGUUAAGGAAGUGGUUUCACAAGCCUAUGAGACAAGUUUUCUCUCUCCUUAUACCCAUCUCACAGAAUGCAUGGAACCCUGGCUGAGGAACUUACUUAUUCUUGCUGUAUUUUGUUAUGGUAUUAUAAUAUUAUUUUCCUAAUUCCUUUGCUGCCUUUGAUCCCAUUCCUUUAUUUUAUGAAACAUAUUUCUCAGUAUAAUAUUAUCAGUAUUAAUGUCAUGUUUGUAAUCAUAUUACUGAAUUAUUUUCAGUCAUUUUUCAUGCCAAUAAAGCUCACUUCCAAUUCAGGUCCAAAUGUAGAAGUAAGAGACAAUACAAUUCCACUAAAAUAUCUCAUGGCUUAGAAAAUAGACGAUUGUUUAAUUUUUACAAUUGGCCUAAUUGUGUUACUUAGACGCAUUUAGAAAAAGCAAAAAUCAGUAUUGUGUACAGAAUAAUGGAAAAUCCAGCAUCAACCACAAGGAGGCCACAUUACUAAGUAAGUGUUGCUUUCUACUCUAAAAUGACUUGUUAACAGUAUUUGAACAUCCCCUCUGUGCUGUGCUGCAUGGUCUAGGUCUGUGCUGCCACUAAGACAGGAAUCAAGAGAGCACACCAGUUUCUAUAUUGUAACAUCAGUGUGUCUUGCUCUUUCUAGCCUAUGAUAAUUAUGGGACAUUGACUGUGGACCUCUGUUCUUCUUGCUGCACUUAUCUUUGAAUGCAGAGGAGAAGACUCAGUCAUUCAGCCACCAGGAGAUGUGACCACUAACCUUAACAGGUCACACUGGGCUGUCAAUGUGAUACUACGGAUACAAAUCCAUAACUGUUGUGGUACAAACACGGAGCAAACGAGUACCCCAAGUAUAUGCUGUGUACUACUGUGCUCGGUGGACCACUGUGAUAACAGGAUAUACAACCCCUUACAAAAACAUACUGACCUACACAAUUACAAUACACCUGGCUGUACAGUAUACAACACCACUUUGAAAUUGACACAAUAACUUUCUCACUACCUCCCUGAUAGUACCAAGACUAGUGGUAGCAGAUGAUGAUAAUCACAGUGAUGAGGAUGAGGAUGAUAAUGAUGAUGAUGGUGAUGGUUAUGCAAUAAGUCAUUUUUGAUGCCAAUAAAGCUAUCUCUUCCAAUGUAGCUCUAAAGGUAGAUGUAAGAGACAUUAAAAUGCCAUUACAAUAUCUCAUGGAUUAGAACACAUACAGCUAGUAGAGUCUAACUAAAUGUAUUCCAGAAAAAAAAGUUAUACUCAGUAUUGUGUACAGAGUAAUGGAAAAGCCAACAUCCACCACAAGGGGGCCACAUUACCAAGUAAGUGUUGCUUUCUACUCUAAAAUGACUUGUUAACAGUAUUUGAACAUCCCCUUUGUGCUGUGCUGCAUGGUCUAGGUCUGUGCUGCCACUAAGACAGGAAUCAAGAGAGCACACCAGUUUCUAUAUUGUAACAUCAGUGUGUCUUGCUCUUUGUAUCCUAUGAUAAUUAUGGGACAUUGGCUGUGGACCUCUGUUGUUCUUGCUGCACUUAUCUUUGAGUGCAGAGGAGCAGACAGUGUUACUCAGUCAACGAGAGAAGUGACUGCUUAUGAAGGAGAAGACGUGUCUCUCAACUGUGAAUAUAAGACCAGUUUAUCAGCUCCAUCUCUCUUCUGG